UUAAAUAUGGAAUGAGCACCAUGUUAAUUUAGUGAAGAUCGAAUGGGCUACCGAUCAAGUUCAACAGUUUUUGUUGAAGGCCAAGCAAUAGUACAAAGAUUGGGUGAGCUAGUCAUAGGCCGUCGUCUUCAACACUUAUAGAGCAUGUAUGGUUUAAAAGAGAAAGAAUAGAAUGGUAAAAAUAAUUAUUUGUUUAGUUCACAGAAAUAGAAAUGAAAUCGUAUUUAAAUUAAAAAUCGGAAUCA
rnacentral:lncRNA from 1 species